GUGGGGGUCAAGGGUGGAAAUCUUACAGAGCUGAUCAGAGCCCCUGAAGGCGCGGCCAGCUUCUCACUCACCCCUGCUCCGUCCACUUAUGAGCUGGCUGCAUAGCCACAGGGAAGCUCCGGGGCUGCAGCUGUCCACAGGCAAGAGGUCACUCACUGCUUAAACGGUGUGAUACAGGGUAGGCUCUCUGGAUUAUCCAGUUUUCUGGAGCAGUGAGCGAAGCCUUAGGAAACUACAGAGAAUCUCAGAUUCGGCCACCCACAAAGGGGCAGACUCACCUAGGACAAGAUGAUCCUCCUCUACAUCUCGAGAUGCAGUUUAAUGAUCCAUAUACAGUGUGAUGCUUUAAUAAGGCUUUUUCAAGGCGAGGAUAGUGUGCGGGGGGUGGGGAGUGGUCCGUAGAGCCACAACUUGGUCAGAGGGAACUGAGAACUAACUUAGGAGACAAAAGGGAACUAUGGGAAACAAGUGACUGCUGGGGAGCCACAAACCAGCAGUCAGUCUUGGUGGCUUUACUUGGAUGGAACUGUGUCCUAGAAAUCCACUCCGCCCGCCCCUUAUUAUCCUGGGUUUAGCAUGCACGAAUUAGCUGGAGAGUGCCUUAAAGGCAGCCAUGCUCUGUCUCAUCAAAAGACCCCAUCCCUCCAUUCCACGCAAGUUCAUCAAGUACUUCCAUACACCAAGCACUGUGCCAAAGUUCAUCAAGUACUUCCAUACACCAAGCACUGUGCCAAAGUCUGGGGGUUCCAGGUCUUAAAAAAUUUAAGGGAAGAAAAAAAAAAAAAGCCACGGUUACCGGUCUCAUGGAACCUAUCCACGUGCUUCUAAAAGAAAUGCGUUUUCUCUUUCAUGAAGCCCUGAGUAUACCUAACAGCCUCACCUUGGCCAGGAUGCUCUUAUUACUUAGUUAUUCCUUGAGUUGGAGUUGCUAUUUUAUUUGGCAGCCAGCAACUGAGGGAAGAACAUUCCCGAUGGUAGCAAAUGUUCAAAUCAACAUUCAAGAAAGGUUAGAUGGAAAAGGCACUGAAUUGAACACUGCAUGGAGGGAAUUUUCAGACUCUGUAGCCAGUGCCCCAUUGGCUGUUGGCCAGGAAGCCACUGGAGCCUAAUUAUUGCACCUCCAGCCACAAGCCCCUUUUGGCUCCAGCAUUACCUCUACAAGCUCAGGCGUUCAUGUCAUUACCUGUUUUCAGCUAGGGAUGAAUAAAAGACAUAAACCUUCCACCUCACUCCAUUUUAAAGCCAAAAGGUAAGACCAGGAUCCCCUUUCUGCUUAAAAUGGAUUUUCUGCUACUGUGUCAAAAAAAAUUAAGAAGUGGUAGCACAGAAGGCAGAAGCUAAGCAUCUUUUUCAGCUGCUAUCAUCUCGUAGAAUCCAUACCGAGCCAUACUCAUGCAGAGACAGCAGGCACAUGAGAGGGUUUAUACUCUCAGUGGUGCUGGGAAGAACCCUCUCCCCUAAAACCGGCUCCUGCUCCUCCGUGCUACAGUGACUUGAAUCCACCAUUAGAGAAUAUUUGCUUUGGCACUACACUCUCCCCUUAAUAGGGUAACACAUUAAUCUGGUUCUUGGUGCUGGUAGGAUUCUCUAGGUUGAGACACAGAGAAAGUGAGGGGCCCAGAUGCCACAUAACCUAAGUAUAAAAUAUCUAGCUGAGAUUGUGGUUUAACAGCCAUGUAAUGAGCACAGCCAGUUCAGGUCAAGGAGAAUCGUGAUUGAUAGGAACAACCUGAAAUAGCAGGAACAUCGACGGAGUCAAGCCAUGAUCGCUAUGUGUAAAAUAGUCUUUAUCCUAAUUGAGAAAGGAAAUGGUGAACAUCCGUUAUUACGUGGAAAUAUAAAUGGAGGAGGCUGGUUAGAUCAUUUGGGUUUGUGAAAUUUAGGUUACAGAAAGUUAAUUUCUCUACUGUAAAGCUUGGCUAUUCUCAUGUGCACAGUGAAAAGGGGUGUAGAAUAUCCCUUUCCCAAAUUUGAUCUGAGAACGCUUUUGCCAACAAACAUCUUACGGGACUAGUUACAGUGGAAUACAUUUGAGGACCUGCUGCUCUAUUAAUUAAGAAGGCGACAUCAUCUAAUAAUUUAUAUGCUUUAUGACAUAGUUAAAUAAAAACUAAACUUAAGCCCCCAAGGCCAAUAAUUUUUAAAGUGGGCCAGUCUUACCCCUAGCAAUCUACCAGACCCUUCCAAGGAGUUAGUUUUAGGGGAUCAAUUUUCAGAUCCUCCCCUUCCUAUUGUACUCCUUCCUAAGAUUCAUCUGCCCGAGAAAAUGCCCUUUUCUCUCCUUACCGAAGAAACCAUCUUUCCCCAUAGUCAGUCUGACUGUAGAGCAUGUCUCAAGAUGUAAACAUCAAAAUAUGGUGUUUGGAAAGUGAGAGCCUCUUAACAGGAUACAAAUCCUUCUGCAAUGCUGGUGGUUCCCAAUUCUUUGCUUUCAACAAAAUUGAAGGAACACCCAAGAUUUCUGAGUAUUUAUUUUAGCAUGUAGUUCUGAAGGAGUUGGAAGAAUUCAGCUACGCUGCUGUCACAUAAUUCCUUCUGUUCCCAUCUAUCUCUGUGAAAGACCACCAAUAUUUCCACACAUAAAAUCGAAAAGGGAGAAUAGAAGUGAUACUGUACCGUGACAAUUCUAACAAAGAUAAUAUUAAUCUAUACAGAGGUGAAAUAGUUGGAGGGAGAAGCCUUCUUCAGCUCCUUAAGUGAUACAUUGCCAAUGAAAUUUUACUGUGUUUAUUUAGUACUUUAUUAAAAUGUGCACCCUAUUUAUUUAUUAAACUCAGUCCAGAGGAAGUUUAAAAUAUGUAAGAGCCUUAUGAUGACAGGAUACGUAAUUUUGUUACAGAUAUGCAACUAAACAACAUAAAAGCCAAGAAUAACUGGGCUAAAAUUUUGAGGGGGAAGUAGAAUAAAAAUACAAAUUCAGUGAGUAAAAAUGAAAAAUGUAGCAUUUCCUACCAUUAAAAAGUUGCCUUGUUUAAUUUUUUGAAAGGAUGGUAGUGGCUACCACCUAUUGUACUUAGAGCCUCUUGGCUAAAUUUAAAGGGGAUGUAACCAUUUUGCAGCAUCUACAGCAUGCCGGCACUUCGAUCCUUUGCAACUAUUUAGGAUGAGAAAUUUUAGACAUCUAUUUGGAAAUGUGUAAGGGCAUACACCGGUUUUCAAAAUUCACUGCUGAGGUCUCUGAACAUAAAAUUUUACAGUCGUUGAUCUAGGGCCACUAAGGAUGAGUCGUAUUUGGAAAUAAGAAGGACAGCUAAAAGGGGCUCUACUUCUUUUAAUUUUCAGAAGGAAUGUAGCUGAACUUUCUACUUAGGUGACAUCUAACUUUUUGGAGACAACCCUAAAAGCUAUAUUCUUGCCAACAGAAAGCUAAUAAGUAGAUGAAGAAAUAUGCAGAAUUACAAAACUGGCAUUUGAAGAAUACUCAGUGAUUUGUCUCAGGCUUUUCGUUCUCAAAAUAUUUUCUUCUUGAAGAGCCAGCUUCUACGGUGAUCCUGUCUCAGAAGUGUCCAUAUUUCUUACUUUUUGCUAGGCUUUAAGAAGAUGCAUUUGUAAAUGUGUUUCAUUAUUAAAGCUUAAUUUAUUUUUUAUGUAGUGUGUGCUUGUGUGUACACAGAAGAUCGUGUGAAUGAGUUACACAAAUGUUGGCUGUUGUUAACGUGAAAGUUUAACGGCUGUGUCACAUUUAAAAAAAAUAAAAUUUGGUCUCAUUGAAUACAGC
rnacentral:lncRNA from 1 species